GUACAAGGAACAUAUAGCCUUGGUACUGGGCUUUGUCAGGUUGAUUCUCCUGGAAACUUGAUUGUCUUGAUUCUGCUCUUAAGUAGAUGCGUUUGAAUGGGGGGCUCCUGCUCAGCAGAAGGUGUUCAUCCUUGAUAUUUAAGGCUGCUCAUCCCCAUCCCUAUCACCUAUCUUUAUUUGCUUGCAUGGAAAAGCAGAAUACCUUCCGGAAUUUCCUGGGCUCUUUUUCCUGACUUCCGGAAUCUUUGGGCUUGUGUUACACACAACGUUUUUGUUUUGAGGCAUCCAUUACUGGAUUAAUUAAGAACAGACAAUAUCUAAAAAGUUGGCUUGAAAACAUAAAUUUCUUCAUCUAUUGGCUUAAUUAUUCAAUGAGUAUUUAUUUUAUUGAUCUUCUGCUAUAUGAAGAAUGUGGCUGGGGACAUAGAGAAAGGGAUUGACUUUGCUGGGCACACUGGGGCUCCUUGCUGCCCAUGGAAGCUUGAAGGAAAUACAUCAAAUUUUCUCUACCAUUGAUGCUGGGUAACUGCCCACACAAGGCCACUUGGAUGAGGCACCUUAGUCAAAUCACAAAGCCCUUGAAGGCAAAAUACUGGUCUACCUCUACUUCCAGAAACUUUUCCAUGACUAAUCUUUAGUGGAUUCUUGUAGUUCUUAAAAAAUAUUUGAUGGCUUAAACCAUCAAGUAUUUUUCUGUGCCUUAAGCAAGAGAACUUGCAAGCUUACGUGCUCGCAGUAGGACUUCCCAGCUAGACAUAGAGCUUGAACAUGAACAAAGUGUUUGCUUUUAUGUGGGUGGGCUGUUCUUCAUGGAAGUAAAGAGUGGAAUAAGUGGAGAAUGUAUUGAUCUCAAUUACUUGGAAAUGAAUUAGAAUUUUUCUUACUUUUCAUUAUUUCCUGCUGUAGGUAUAAAAUACGUUAGGAAAAUGUGCUUGUAUGUAUUUCUCCAUAAGUGAUGGUGAAAAAAAAUGCCAAUCAUGAGACGUUUUGGGUUUCAAAAAGAAAGGAUGAGUAAUUGGAUGCAUCCUAGUAUUUCCAGAGAAGACUUAUUCUGGAUGAGCUGACUGAGGCUCUUCAGAAGUCAUUGUCCAUUCAGUCCCGCAUGAUUCAAUGUGAAAAGAAUUCUAGAGGUCUUGGUCUACCUCUUAGUAUUGUACUAACUAGCUGUGACCUUGAGCAAGUCACUUACCAACUUGAAUUUCUAUUUCUUUGUUCAGUACUCAAUAUGUGUUUAUAGAGGCAGCAACACAUUCCUUCUGCUUAUAUCCUCUGGGAAAUGCAGUCUUCAUAUUGUGCCAUCCUGUGCCAGCUAAGAAUCAGGGAUGCUAUUACUGUGGGAGAGAAGAGGAGAAUGGGUACGAGGGAGAAAAAGCAAUCUCUGUCUGGGGUACAAACACAAACAACUCUUGGUCCUUUCCUAAAAGGUGCUUACUUUGGUGGGAGAAAACAGAAGUGUAAAUAGGGAAUCAAACAUAUUUUUUGCUACUCUUUGCUGUCAUUUAUGCCAACACUUUUACCAUCUGACACUUUCAUUCUCUUACUCCCUUUUGUCUCCUUUUCCUCUGCCUAAACUAUGCCCUUGUCAACUGUUACAAAACAAAGUUCAACUGAGUAAAUUUUUAAGGUCUUAUUGGCUUUAUUCAAAGAUUCAUGAAUCAGGCAGCAUUCAAUCCAGUUGACAAAAAGAAGCUCUGAGGGGCCAUACAAAAUGGAAGAAUUUUAUAGGCAGAAGGGGGUGAGAACAAGGAAGUUAUACUAAAUGAAAAGGCAGGUUGGUCUUUGCAAGGUCAUUUUCCUUUAGGGGAUGGGAGAGGUCUAUUAGGAAGAUAACCAGUGCUGAUCAGGAGAUUCCUGAUUGACUGGUUUAAGAUUCCAUUUCUGGGAUAGCUGAACCUGUAAUUAAGUUAAAUUUCAGGGUGUUGACUUGGGGCUUAGCAUAAGCAAUUCCAUUUUGAGUCUGCUUUCUUGUUUUUAAUACUCCUUACCUAAAAACUGAAAUAACUACCCCCUCCAAAAAAAAAAAAAAACACCUCGCUUUUUCUGUGGAUCUCUUUGCCCCUCUGCUUACUUCCUCCCCUAUUUUCCUUUAUUCUUGAUCUCUCUUGGCUGUACCUGAUGCUGUUUACCAUCUCCUUGAAAUUCUCUCCUUCUUGUUUUCUGUGUCCAUCUAACAUUCUGGUUUUCCUACUUCUCUAACUUCCGUUUCCUAUGCUGACUUUUCCUCCAUCUUCCUAAAGGAAAGCAUUUCCCUAGACCAAGCUUCUGCCUAGUCCUCCUGGCUUUUUGCAUCUGUCUUGGAAUCGUAUCCAUUGUUUGGUCAUGGUCAUCACUUUGAGGGAAAUGAAUCACACAUCUCAAUGCAUAAAGCAAAAUCAUGAUCAUAAACCAGAACCUCAUGGGCUUCAGCCUCAUGUUUUUUACUGCCUGUAGGAUAGUUCUAUCAAGGUUCUCUUAACAGGAGUAUUGCCAGCAAGCCCUUUCCUUCCUCAAAAUUGUCUCCUAAUUUUCAUAUACCAUCUGGAAUUUAGAGACUAAUGGCUUAAUAGGAGUUUUGCCCACAAGGCUCAAGAUUCUCUUAAAGCACCUAAAUUCCACUAGCCAAACUCAUCUUGCCCACUCCUGCAAAUCCACUCCUCACCAACCUUCUACUCCUCCCAAUACCAUUCAGAAACUUGCUCCUGGUUUGAACCCUUGUGUAUGUCAUUGGAAUAAUUUGUGCUUUACAACCUGGAGUCCUUUUCCUUUCUCUGGACACUCGCUUCUCAUAUCAAACAUGUAAACAUAAAUUGCUGAUCGUAUUGCUUACUACCUUCAUGGUAAACUUGCUACUCAAUGUCUUGCUUGUGCUGCUGUGAUGAUCCUCUUCUCUUCUUUCCUUUAUAUUCUUUUUACUGUCUGUCUUCAUGCAAUAUGAAUUGGAUCAGUUUAAGCUACUAAAAAACCUUAGAUAACAUGCCAUUAUCUACCAAUGAGUCAAAUCUCUUUUUUUUUUUUUAAAUAGAGGAAAGGAUUUUUUUUUUAGAACAUAUGUAGUUUGACGCUUUAUUUUUUAUUUAUUUUUUAGAUUUUAUUUUUUCCUUUUUCUCCCCAAAGCCCCCCAGUACAUAGUUGUAUAUUCUUCGUUGUGCGUCCUUCUAGUUGUGGCGUAUGGGACGCUGCCUCAGCGUGGUUUGACGAGCAGUGCCAUGUCCGCGCCCAGGAUUCGAACCAACGAAACACUGGGCAGCCUGCCUCGGAGCGUGCGAACUUAACCACUCAGCCACAGGGCCAGCCCCUCAAAUCUCUUUUGUCUACCAUUCUAAGUUAAGUGUUUCAUUACCUGGCCUCAAAUUUCCACAUUCUCUGGACCAUACCUUUAAGACAAAUUAGACUACUUGAUGUUUUCUGAACGUGUCCUCCACUCUCCUAUCUCUGUGUCUCUGUGUGUUUACUUGGACUAUGUCUUCUUCCUGAAAACCCUCCGUUUUAUCCAUCGUUUUCCCCUGAUGAAAUCUUACCCAUCUUAUAGAGUCUGAUUAAAAUGCUACAUCCUUUAUGAAGGCUCUCUUGAACUUCUAUUAACCAGAAAUACCUUUAGACUCAGAGAUGUAACUUGUUUGUCUUUGUGUAGCUAGAGUCCAGCAUAGUUUCUGAUUCAUUGUGUUGUUCAACAACUGUUGACUUAAUGGACCACCAUUAGUUGAAUAUAAUCUCUAUCCCUUCUGGAUCACUACAAACCUUGUACUUAUCUUAGGGCUCUGGUCAUAUUACAUCUUAUAAUUCAUUUAUUUUUUUCAUAGCUUUGAGAUAUUGGGAUAGUAAAGAAUUUUUCACAAAAGAGCUGAUCCAUAAAUGUGCCUUUAAUGAAUGAAUUCCAGGAGCGGGGAGGUUGGGUUCUUAGCCAGAAUGUUUGCUCAAAUGGUUAGAACUGGUGCUAAGAAUUAAUUUCUCCUAAGAUUAUAUUCUGUAACCUUUCUACCUCCGCUACUAGAUGGUGUGAUUCUUGGAGGCAGGGUCCAUUCAACUCUGCAUCCCCAGCACACUUUCAGGCACUUCAUAUUCAUUCAACUAAACAUUGGUUCAACAAAAUUGUUUGGGUAAUGUAAUCAUGGUGGAAUGGUGGUGGUAUGAUUCUCUAAGGAAAGAGUAGGGGACAGGCCAGGUGGUCAAUGAGACUGUAGCACUGUUGGGAGGAGCCACAAUUUCGGGCUCUUCCUAACAGAACAACGGUACUCCUGUUCUUAAGAGAGAUUCUCUUAAUAUAUUUUUUUAAAGAAAAGGGUACGAGGCAAUAUUGCUGGAGGAAACUCAGUGAUCAAGAGAGAAAAAAAAAAUGGUAUACAAAAGAUUUUGUGGGAGCUGGCCCCGUGGCCGGGUGGUUAAGUUCGCGCGCUCCGCUGCAGGUGGCCCAGUGUUUCGUCAGUUCGAAUCCUGGGCACGGACAUGACACUGCUCAUCGAGCCACGCUGGGGCAGCGUCCCGCAUACCACAAGCAGAAGGACCCACAACGAAGAAUAUACAACUAUGUACCAGGGGGCUUUGGGG
rnacentral:lncRNA from 1 species